rnacentral:rRNA from 1 species
UACGUAGGGGGGCAAGCGUUGUCCGGAUUUACUGGGCGUAAAGCGUGCGUAGGCGGUCCGUUAAGUCUGUUGUGAAAGCCCCCGGGCUCAACCUGGGAAUGGCAAUGGAUACUGGCGAGCUAGAGUGUGUCAGAGGAUGGUGGAAUUCCCGGUGUAGCGGUGAAAUGCGUAGAGAUCGGGAGGAACAUCAGUGGCGAAGGCGGCCAUCUGGGACAACACUGACGCUGAGGCACGAAAGCGUGGGGAGCAAACAGG